rnacentral:rRNA from 1 species
GACGUAGGGCGCAAGCGUUUGUCCGGAUUUAUUGGGCGUAAAGAGCUCGUAGGCGGCUUGUUGCGUCGUCCGUGAAAACCUGUGGCUCAACUACAGGCUUGCGGUCGAUACGGGCGGGCUGGAGUUCGGUAGGGGAGACUGGAAUUCCUGGUGUAGCGGUGAAAUGCGCAGAUAUCAGGAGGAACACCGGUGGCGAAGGCGGGUCUCGUGGGCAACAACUGACGCUGAGGAGCGAAAGCGUGGGGAGCGAACAGG